rnacentral:rRNA from 1 species
UACAGAGGUGGCAAGCGUUGUUCGGAAUUACUGGGCGUAAAGGGCGCGUAGGCGGUCCCAUAAGUCCUGUGUGAAAUCCCCCGGCUCAACUGGGGAAUUGCACGGGAAACUGUGAGGCUUGAGUUCGGGAGAGGGAAGCGGAAUUCCGGGUGUAGCGGUGAAAUGCGUAGAUAUCCGGAGGAACACCGGUGGCGAAGGCGGCUUCCUGGACCGACACUGACGCUGAGGCGCGAAAGCUAGGGGAGCAAACGGG